rnacentral:misc_RNA from 1 species
UACGGAGGGGGCAAGCGUUGUUCGGAAUCACUGGGCGUAAAGGGCGCGUAGGCGGCUCUUCAAGUCGGGCGUGAAAGCCCCGGGCUCAACCCGGGAAUGGCGCCCGGUACUGGAGGGCUCGAGACCGGGAGAGGGUAGUGGAAUUCCCAGUGUAGAGGUGAAAUUCGUAGAUAUUGGGAAGAACACCAGUGGCGAAGGCGGCUACCUGGCCCGGUUCUGACGCUGAGGCGCGAAAGCGUGGGGAGCAAACAGG